rnacentral:rRNA from 1 species
UGGGGAAUAUUGCACAAUGGGCGCAAGCCUGAUGCAGCCAUGCCGCGUGUAUGAAGAAGGCCUUCGGGUUGUAAAGUACUUUCAGCGGGGAGGAAGGUGUUGUGGUUAAUAACCACAGCAAUUGACGUUACCCGCAGAAGAAGCACCGGCUAACUCCGUGCCAGCAGCCGCGGUAAUACGGAGGGUGCAAGCGUUAAUCAGAAUUACUGGGCGUAAAGCGCACGCAGGCGGUCUGUCAAGUCGGAUGUGAAAUCCCCGGGCUCAACCUGGGAACUGCAUCCGAAACUGGCAGGCUUGAGUCUUGUAGAGGGGGGUAGAAUUCCAGGUGUAGCGGUGAAAUGCGUAGAGAUCUGGAGGAAUACCGGUGGCGAAGGCGGCCUCCUGGACAAAGACUGACGCUCAGGUGCGAAAGCGUGGGGAGCAAACA